GACGAACGCUGGCGGCGUGCCUAAUACAUGCAAGUCGAACGAACCGCGACUGAGUGCUUGCACUUGGUCAAGGUGAGUGGCGAACGGGUGAGUAACACGUGGGUAACCUACCUCAUAGUGGGGGAUAACAGUCGGAAACGACUGCUAAUACCGCAUAGGACAUAGGAUCACAUGAUCCAGUGGGGAAAGGUGGCGCAAGCUAUCGCUAAGAGAUGGAACCGCGGUGCAUUAGCUAGUUGGUAGGGUAAAGGCCUACCAAGGCGAUGAUGCAUAGCCGACCUGAGAGGGUGAACGGCCACAUUGGGACUGAGACACGGCCCAAACUCCUACGGGAGGCAGCAGUAGGGAAUCGUCCGCAAUGGACGCAAGUCUGACGGAGCAACGCCGCGUGAGUGAAGAAGGUCUUCGGAUCGUAAAGCUCUGUUGUUAGAGAAGAACAGCGCAUAGAGUAACUGCUAUGCGUGUGACGGUAUCUAACCAGAAAGCCACGGCUAACUACGUG
rnacentral:rRNA from 1 species